rnacentral:rRNA from 1 species
AAAUAAACAAUGAUUCCCCCAGUAGUGGCGAGCGAACGGGGAACAGCCCAAACCAUCCAUGUUACGGCAUGGGUGGGGUUGUAGGACUACGCCGUUGCAUGAAGACAUCAGAGAAGAACUUUCUGGAAAGAAAGACCAUAGAGCAUGACAGUUGCGUAUUCGAAUGUUGUCGAAGCAUAGUAGUAUCCUGAGUAGCGCGGAGCACGAGGAAUUCUGCGUGAAUCUGCCGGGACCAUCCGGUAAGGCUAAAUACUCCCGAGAGACCGAUAGCGAACCAGUACCGUGAGGGAAAGGUGAAAAGCACUUCGAACAGAAGAGUGAAAUAGUUCCUGAAACCGUGCGCCUACAAGCGGUCGGAGCUCGUUAAUGAGUGACGGCGUGCCUUUUGCAUAAUGAACCUACGAGUUGCCUUUGCCGGCAAGGUUAAGUGUGACGACACACGUAUCCGAAGCGAAAGCGAGUCUGAACAGGGCGUAUAGUCGGCAGUGGCAGACGCGAAACCAAGUGAUCUACCCUUGGCCAGGUUGAAGGCUGGGUAACACCAGCUGGAGGACCGCACCAAUAAGCGUUGAAAAGCUUCUGGAUGAGCUGAGGGUAGGGGUGAAAGGCUAAUCAAACUUGGAGAUAGCUCGUACUCCCCGAAAUGCAUUUAGGUGCAGCCUUGCGGGUUACUGAUGUGAGGUAGAGCGACUGAUAAGAUGCGAGGGCUUCACCGCCUAUCAAGUCUUGACAAACUCCGAAUGCGCAUCAGUUCUACCGCAGGAGUGAGGGCAUGGGUGCUAAGGUCCGUGCCCGAGAGGAGAAGAAUCCGGACCACCUGCUAAGGUCCCGAAAUGACAGCUAAGUUAAACUAACGAAGUCUGACUGCUAAGACAGCUAGGAUGUUGGCUUGGAAGCAGCCAUUCAUUUAAAGAGUGCGUAACAGCUCACUAGUCGAGGAGUCGGGCGUGGAUAAUAAUCGGGUAUCAAGUUGUCUACCGAAGCAGUGGGAUCAUUAAUAUGAUCGGUAGGGGAGCAUUCCAGUCAGCGUCGAAGGCGUACCGUGAGGUAUUCUGGAGCGUCUGGAAAAGCAAAUGUAGGUAUAAGUAACGAUAAAGGGGGCGGGAAACCCCCUCGCCGAAAGACUAAGGUUUCCUGAUCAACGCUAAUCGGAUCAGGGUCAGUCGGGUCCUAAGGCUCAGCCGAACGGCGAUGCCGAUGGCAGAAACGGUUAAUAUUCCGUUACUACCUUCAGGAGUGACGUGGAGACGCAGUAGUGACAGUGCCGCCAUCUGACGGAAUAGAUGGUUGAAGGGUGUAGGAGUCGAUCAUGGCAGGCAAAUCCACCAUGAGAUCCGAACCUGAUAGUAUGCCGCGUCCUUCGGGACAAGGCAAUAGUGCGCGUAAGCAUGCUGCCGAGAAAAUCCGCUAAACUUAAUCCUGCAGGUACCCGUACCGCAAACGGACACACGUAGUCGGGAUGAAUAUUCUAAGGCGCUUGAGUGAUUCACGGUUAAGGAACUAGGCAAACUGACCCUGUAACUUCGGGAUAAAGGGUCCCUACCCUUUUAUGGGAGGGCGCAGAGAAUCGGUCCAGGCAACUGUUUAACAAAAACACAGGGCUGUGCCAAAUCGAAAGAUCCAGUAUACAGCCUGACACCUGCCCGGUGCUGGAAGGUUAAGAGGAGAUGUCAUCGAUAAGAGAAGCGUUGAAUUGAAGCCCCAGUAAACGGCGGCCGUAACUAUAACGGUCCUAAGGUAGCGAAAUUCCUUGUCGGGUAAGUUCCGACCUGCACGAAUGGUGUAAUGAUCUGGACGCUGUCUCAACCGUGAGCUCAGUGAAAUUGUAGUAUCGGUGAAGAUGCCGAUUACCCGCGAUGGGACGAAAAGACCCCGUGAACCUUUACUAUAGCUUAACAUUGAAUUUGGGUAAUUGAUGUGUAGGAUAGGCCGGAGACUUUGAAGCAGGUACGCCAGUAUUUGUGGAGUCGCUGUUGAAAUACGGCCCUUUGAUUAUUUGAGUUCUAACUCGUAGAUGCGAGGACACUGUUUGGUGGGUAGUUUGACUGGGGUGGUCGCCUCCAAAAGUGUAACGGAGGCUUCUAAAGGUGCCCUCACGACGAUUGGUAACCGUCGGCAGAGUGUAAUGGCAUAAGGGCGCUUGACUGGGAGACUUACAAGUCGAUCAGGUAGGAAACUAGAGCAUAGUGAUCCGGUGUUUCCGUAUGGAA